AACGAACGCUGGCGGCAGGCUUAACACAUGCAAGUCGAGCGCCCCGCAAGGGGAGCGGCAGACGGGUGAGUAACGCGUGGGAAUCUACCCAUCUCUACGGAAUAACGCAUGGAAACGUGUGCUAAUACCGUAUACGUCCUUCGGGAGAAAGAUUUAUCGGAGAUGGAUGAGCCCGCGUUGGAUUAGCUAGUUGGUGGGGUAAAGGCCUACCAAGGCGACGAUCCAUAGCUGGUCUGAGAGGAUGAUCAGCCACACUGGUACUGAGACACGGCCCAGGCUCCUACGGGCGGCAGCAGUGGGGAAUAUUGGACAAUGGGCGCAAGCCUGAUCCAGCCAUGCCGAGUGAGUGAUGAAGGCCCUAGGGUUGUAAAGCUCUUUCACCGGUGAAGAUAAUGACGGUAACCGGAGAAGAAGCCCCGGCUAACUUCGUGCCAGCCGCCGCAGUAAGAC
rnacentral:rRNA from 1 species